ensembl:lincRNA
AGUCCUACAGAUCCAAAACUACAGGAUCUCCAUGACAGAGGGCAACAACAGGAUAUUUGAGAUGAGUCUUGUAGGAUUAUGGUUCUUUUGUCUGCUCCACCACAGGGCAUGGCUGCUGGGGGUGGAGGGCAGGACGAAGGAGUUUUGACCGUGCUUACCUCACUCAGAGUUGAUACUAUUUAACUUGUGAAUUUGAAAGAUGGAACCCUGAGUCUGGCAGCUGCUUCUGAAGAGGGUCGCACACUGGUACAACUUGGAAGGACAAGUUGGGAACACUUGGAAGUACAAAGCAAAAGUUUCUUGUAGCUGGGCGUUUAGGCUUCCUACAGCCAUAGAAGAGCUUGGUGCUGAGUCUGAGUAAGCUGCUUUCAGUUGACUGAGAAAUGCAGAAGUCAGUUAAAGCCUGAAGAUGCUUAAUUGAUCUGGCUAAGACUUCUGAUGUGUUGAGGAGAGAUGAAGAGGAUGGGCAUCCUUGUCUUGUUCUGCAUCUUAGAAAGGAAGCGUCAACGUUUCCUUGUUGAAUAUGGUAUCAGUUGUGGGUUUGCCAUAUGGGAACCUUAUUGUGUUGAGGUCCAUUUGUUCUACACCAAGGUUGUUAAAAUUUUUUAUCAUGAGGUAAUUGAAUUUUGUCAAAUGCCUUUUCUGCAACUUGUUGAAAUGCAAUAUGAAUUUCAUCAUUCAUUCUGUUAAUGUGAUGUUCCACACUUCUAGCUUUGUGUAUGUGGAAUUAUAAUUGCAUCUGUAGGAUGACUCCCAUUUGAUUCCAGUAAAUUAUCCUUUUAAUGUGCUUCUGAAUUCUGAAUUCAAUCUGCUAGUAUUUUAUUGGAGAUUUUUGCCUCUAUGUUCAUCAGUGAUACUAGCUCUGCAUGGCUGGGGUUUCGUUUCCUACUACAGUUUCUCUCUCCUUCAUCCCUCUUAUCUUCCCUCCUGCUUGCCUUAUAUACAUUUUCUGGCUUUGUCAUAAAAGCUUCAAAAAAGCUGGGAAGGAUUUCCUCCUCCUCCUCCUCUUCUUCCUCUUCCUCUCUUCAUUUUCUUGAAAUAUAGAUUUUGUUGUUAUUGAAACAAUUUUUCUUUUCCCUUCUCCUUUUAUUUAGGAUAUUGCACAUACUAGGGAAGGAUGCUAACACUCAGCAACAUCUCCAGCUUUUUGGUUUUCUCUUUUCCCUCUUAGAGUUAUCUCUUCUGUUUUUCAAAAAUCUUUGUGUGUUGUGUUUCCUGUUUCUUCUUUUUGGUUUUGGUCUUAAGAUAUUUUUUCAGUGUCCUCUUUGAUUUCUUGAUUAUUUCUCCUGAGACAUGUAGAUUAAUUUCCAUAUGACUUUUAAAAUUUUCUUCCUGUUAAAUUACAUUUUAAAUNNNNNNNNNNNNNNNNNNNNNNNNNNNNNNNNNNNNNACCUAAGAUGAAAUAUACCAUUGGUUUAGUAUUAUCCUUGAGAAAAUUAUUCUUUUGGUUGCUGGCUUAGUGUUCUGUGUUUUUCCCUCUUUUGAACUAUUAGUCUACACUUUUCUCAUGCACUAUGGAAGGGGUGAAAUCUCUGGGAAUGGUUAGAUGAUUCAUAUCUUCUGAAUUGUGGCAUCUCCUUGAAGCUAGAAUACUGAUGGAGAGUGGAUUUGCCUUUCAUUCUAUCUAGGGUCUCUCUGUAACAUGACAAAGCUGGACUGAUGGAGUAACAGAGAAUACUACACUCCUCUCAUUCAUCUUGAAGGGGCUGUUUCUUGCCCUUGCACUGUUGGUACUCUAGCAUUUAACUCUCAUGGACUGAAAGGUGUAAUGAAAUUAUUUGAAGAGAAAUGUAUAGUGCAUAUUUUCUCACCAAAGUUUCCAUACAUAUUUGCUGUUAAUAAAGAAAUUCUGGUGAGUUUUAACUUGAUGACUGGAUGGGGCUUGGUGUCAGCCUCAGGCCUUUGUGCUUCUUCUCUUUUGGCUUGAUGGACUAUGGAAGGAAAGAUUUGCCUCUUUAGCACUGGGUCUUGGGAUUUCUGUACAUCCAUGAAUGACAGAAGGUUGACAGAGUGACAAAAUCAGUUAAUAAACACACAGACAUGCACAGACACACAUGCAAACACACACGAGUGCACACAUGCACACACACAAAUAAACAUAUGUACAUGUACAGACACACAAACAUUUUAUUUUAGUCUUUCAGUUCUGUACUUAAAGAAGCCUGUUUAAGCAGGCCCACGUGCUGUACGUGAUUUCAUAUCAACCCCAGAAAUUGUCACCUCUGUGUGUAUCCCCCUAGAGGAUUUUUUCACUUGUCUGUUUUGACCUGUGGGUACUCCCUUGGAUGUGGUGCAAUACGUUAGUAGUUUGGUGGACCAUAUUUUAAAGGCACCAGAUUGUCUCCUUGUUAUUCAGGUUCUCAGACAUUUCCUUUGGCUUUGUUGUUAAUUGUGCAUUUUUAAGCAGAGAACUUUCAGACAAGCAUCCCUACCUUAAGAUGAAAGCACACACAAUACAACACCAACAAAGUACAACAUACCACAGUGUUUCAAAAGUCUAACAAACAGAUCUACUUGCAGCUUUAGUAAAAAGCCUCAUAUAUUCAGUUUUGAUUCAGGACUCACUCACAAAUGCUCUUCACCACCCAGUAGAGCUGCAUCAAGAAACAGAUUUGAAGAUUGACAACAGGAGUUAAGAAAUCAUGCAUAGCUUUCUCACUAGGGCCUUAGAGCUUAAGAAAGUUGCUAUUUAACUGAGUAUAUGCUAAAUGUCAUGUAUAAGUUAGUAUGCGUUAGUCCUCAACACAACUUUCUUCAGUUAGGAAAGUAAAAGAGAGCCAUCCUACAGCAAUGUAGACUGGAGGAGCUUACACUUGCUUGAUGUGCACUCAUCGCCUCUUGAACAAAUAUUGUAUUCAUACAAAUAAGAUCCAACCCUUGUUAAGACCAAAACUAAAUGUAGUUAUGGGUCUAUUGACCUGGAAUUUAAAAGGCUGCAUUUCUUCCUCUCAGUCACCUUUUUACUGAAAAACAAAAC